GACGGAGGGUGCAAGCGUUGUUCGGAAUUACUGGGCGUAAAGCGCGUGCAGGUGGCCUUUUAAGUCCUUUGUGAAAUUCCGGAGCUCAACUCCGGAUGUGCAUAGGAUACUGAUGAACUUGAAUGUACUAGAAGUAGGCGGAAUGUGACAAGUAGCGGUGAAAUGCAUAGAUAUGUCACAGAACACCGAUUGCGAAGGCAGCUUACUAUGGUAUUAUUGACGCUGAGGCACGAAAGCGUGGGGAUCAAACAGG
rnacentral:rRNA from 1 species